UUUUGCUUUGAUAUUGCACAGUGAGAGGAGACUGAGCUCUCAUGUACUUCGUUAUAUGGUACAAGAGGGAUAAGAGACAGAAAUUAAUAACAGAGCCUAUCCAUCUAUGCAGUGAAGCCAUGGUGGAAAAUUUUGUUAAUGUACAUGGGGAUGUCCGAGGAAUCCUCCAUAGUGAUUUCUAGGAAACUUUCCUGUGGGUAUUCUGCAAUCCUCUGCCAAAGAUUCCUUGGGAGAGCUGCCUUGUUUCUGCCCCCACUGUAGGAAACUUUGCCUUGCCACCCAGCAAUUAUUUCUGCAGGGACUAGAGUGGCACACAGAUGUGCCUUUGAGAACACUUCUAUCCCGGCGGAGCACCUCCAUUAGAUAAGCCGCCAACCCAGAAGGAGUAUGUUUUGCCAGGCGCUGCAGUCAACAGUUACAGCACAGAGUGAAACUAGAGCAUGGAGGGAGACAAUGAAAGACUGAGGCUGGAUAGCGAGGAAAGGACAUAGGGACAGGAGCGGAUGACGAAGCAUCUCAAGGACUGGACAGAGAUGUUGAAGUCCCUCAUUAGCCUGCAAUCACAACAAAUCUGUGCCCGACUCCCCCUUCAGCCACUACAGAACUCCUGUCCAUGCCCUUCCCAAACUCCCCCACUGCAUUCAUUGUUCCCAGUCCCUCACAGUACCUGUGCACUCCACGUCUGGAGUUUACCAAUGAAAGCUGGAGUUGUACCCAUCUGUGAGAGCCCUAACUGUGAGACUGUUUUGUCAUGUCCCCUGUUUGACCAAACAUUUGUUUGAUCCUGUUAUUAAACUUGAGUCUUUUUGAAAUUAAAUGUCUUUAUUUGUGAAAUGCA